AGACAUUACAAAUUAAGGAUUCCAACACAUUCAAGCAAUCCCUGGACAAGGAUUCAAUAUUUCAGAUCUUGAAGUCAUUUGUUUGUUUGUUGUGUAGCUGUUUUGAAGAUGGAUUCAAAGUAGCACAAAAYUCUGAAGCUAAAAUAUUUCUUAGUGAUUUUAAGGCUGAUGAUAAUUCCAAGUUGACAAGAAGAUGGAAGUGAAUCCAGUGAAGUACAGUUCAGUCAAUACUUACCCAAUGUUUAGAAGUGAUGACAAGGAUCUAAAGUGUGGCUACCUACAGCAAAAUCUCCGGUUGAGUUUUGACCCACAGGAGAUCAACAGUAUUGUUGAGGAAUUGCACAAGAUUCAGCCGUCAAGAAGGGUUCACUUACAGAAUUUGACCUGCAUGACAUACAAGGCGUACAUUGAUGACAUCMAAGACCCUCUUCUACAAGAAAUAUUACACAUCAUGUUUUCCAAAACCAUGCAGUGUGCUUCAAAAAAGAAUCCUCUUCAAGAUCAUUUUCAUGCUGCAGCCGUAUUGGCUGGAACAAUACAUUUUUGCCCAUCCAGCCUCACAUUCAAUCACACUUCAGGAUGAAUUUCAAUAUUAUAUAUACAGAAAGAAAAAGGUUUGAAAGGUACUUUCAUCACACAAGAUAAUGGUGUUAGUUAGGCGAACAAAAGGAACUACAAAAACUUGUCAUCACUAACCACCACCACAAAGUACAGCAGUGGCGCAGGCCAAAGGGGUCAAACUCAGUACUACAGCGCAGGUCAAAGGGGUCGAACUCAGUACUAUACUGAAAGCAUGUGAAAGGAUAAUGUUAGUAGUGGUAUCAAGAUGUAGUAAUGGCUAUGGAAAACUCUUUACAGCUGCAUGUUGUAUGUAACUAAGCAUGGCUUACUAACCCCUAACUAACUCCCAAGUAGGAACUAGCUCAUUAUACCCUUAAUAUUCAUGGUAGCGAAAGUGUGUGGUAGCGAAACAACCGGUUACCUAUUCAUGUGUUGUCAGUGUACCACUAAYCCCUAAGUAGGAACUAGCUCAUUAUACCCUUAAUAGUCAUGUGUUUUGGGUGUAUCACUAACCC